AUGCUUAUUGGUGCUAAAGCCUACUUUGAUGAGUGGUUUAGCAACAUUUUAGCGGAUUCCCAAGCCAGAGAGUCUCACAUCCAUACUCAUAUUGAUGUGGUAACAAAGGAAGCAAAGGAAAGAGGAGGUGUCUUGGAUCAUCUUAAGGAUUCUACUCUUAUGUUCAACCUUAAUGAUAAUGCUCUUACUCCUUCUUCAGAUGAUCUUCAUUAG